GACGAACGCUGGCGGCGUGCUUAACACAUGCAAGUCGAACGGAAAGGCCCUGCCUUUGUGGGGUGCUCGAGUGGCGAACGGGUGAGUAACACGUGAGUUACCUGCCCUUGACUUUGGGAUAACUUCAGGAAACUGGGUCUAAUACCGGAUAGGAGCUACUGCUGCUUGGUGGGGGUUGGAAAGUUUCGGCGGUUGGGCAUGGACUCGCGGCCCAUCGGCUUGUUGGAGGGGUAGUGGGUUACCAAGGCCUUGACGGGUAGCCGGCCUGAGAGGGUAAGCUGACAAACCACGACUGAACUGAGACACGGACUAGUACGGGAGGCAAGGCAGCAGAGGGUAAUAUAGUGCGAGGAGGGCUAGUCCAGCACCGCCACGUGCGGGAUGUGAGCAAUCGGGUUGUGUUCCAAUUUCGCCUGUCACGAGACGAGAGUGACAGUAACGGGUGAAGAAGCUCCGGCUAACUCCGUG
rnacentral:rRNA from 1 species